GAUGAACGCUAGCGAUAGGCUUAACACAUGCAAGUCGAGGGGCAGCAUGGUCUUAGCUUGCUAAGACUGAUGGCGACCGGCGCACGGGUGCGUAACGCGUAUGCAACUUGCCUCACAGAGGGGGAUAACCCGUCGAAAGACGGACUAAUACCGCGUACACUCCAUCUUGGGCAUCCAAGGUAGAGGAAAUGAAAUUCGCUGUGAGAUAGGCAUGCGUCCCAUUAGCUAGUUGGUGAGGUAACGGCUCACCAAGGCGACGAUGGGUAGGGGAACUGAGAGGGUGAACCCCCCCACCGGUACCGGGGCACGGACCAGACUCCUACGGGAGGCAGGAGUGAGGAAAAGUGAGCAAAGGGCGAGAGCCUGAACCCGCCAAGUCGCGUGAAGGAAGACUGGCUUAUGGAUUGUAAACUUUUUUUAUACGGGAAUAACAAGAGUCACGUGUGACUCCCUGCAUGUACCGUAUGAAUAAGCAUCGGCUAACUCCGUG
rnacentral:rRNA from 1 species